rnacentral:rRNA from 1 species
CAGGGAAUCUUCGGCAAUGGACGAAAGCCUGACCGAGCAACGCCGCGUGAGUGAAGAAGGAUUUCGGAUCGUAAAACUCUGUUGUUAGAGAAGAACAAGGACGUUAGUAACUGAACGUCCCCUGACGGUAUCUAACCAGAAAGCCACGGCUAACUACGUGCCAGCAGCCGCGGUAAUACGUAGGUGGCAAGCGUUGUCCGGAUUUAUUGGGCGUAAAGCGAGCGCAGGCGGUUUCUUAAGUCUGAUGUGAAAGCCCCCGGCUCAACCGGGGAGGGUCAUUGGCAACUGGGAGACUUGAGUGAAGAAGAGGAGAGUGGAAUUCCAGGUGUGGCGGUGAAAUGCGUAGAUAUAUGGAGGAACACCAGUGGCGAAGGCGGAUCUCUGGUCUGUAACUGACGCUGAGGCUCGAAGGCGUGGGGAGAAAACAGG